GUGAAUCAUCGAAUUUUUGAACGCAAAUUGCACUCUCUUCUGAGCGUAUGCCUGUUUGAGGGUCAGUCUAAAAAAAAUCCAUGUAGUCGCUGUUUAGAGGUGACAUUCUUUGGUAUCUGGGUCAUCUUAAACCUUUGGGGUUUUUAAGCGGCUUAAAAUUUUCUUUACGUUUCCACGAACGUUUCUAAGAUUCUACUUUUUACACACGUUUAAGGUAUCGAUCUUUAUUAUACGUUGCCUUUGACUAGAAUCGCGUCC
rnacentral:misc_RNA from 1 species